rnacentral:lncRNA from 1 species
CGCCACCACACCUGCCUAAUUUUUAAUAUUUUUAGUAGAGACGGGGUUUCACCAUAUUGGCCAGGCUGGUCUUGAACUCCUGACCUCGUGAUCCGCCCGCCUCAGCCUCCCAAAGUGCUGGGAUUAUAGACGCGAGCCACCGUGCGGGGCCCCAAAGCAUUCAUUUUAAGAUGAAGAAAGUUGAGUCCCAGAAAAAUGACUCAAAUAACUAAGACCCAGGCUGUGACUUUUAUGUGCUAACUUGAAUUUAGGAUCAGUCCAUGAAGACAGGCUGGAAUUAAAUACUUUUGGAUGAACGUCAACACACCCCUUACAUACAAAUGAUUAAAUAUGGUUUUCUCAGUUUCCUUCUACUUCCUAUGUUCUUUCAAAGAAACACUGAAUUACAAAUAAACCAAUAGGUACCACUGUCACUCACUCGAGCAACAAAUAUUUACGGAAUGUCUUCUGGGAACAAGCCCAUACCAGAUCACAAAGGACAAGUUUUGUUUUUUUUUUUGGGAGAUGGAGUCUAGCUCUGUCACUCAGGCUGGAGUGCAGUGGCACGAUCUCGGCUCACUGCGACCUCCACCUCCUUGGUUCAAGCAAUUCUCCUGCCUCAGCCUCCCGAGUAGCUGGGAUUACGGGAUUACAGGUGCCCGCCACCAUGCCUGGCUAAUUUUUGUAUUUUUAGUAGAGAUGGGAUUUCACCAUGUUGACCAGGCUGGUCUCCUACCUCAGGUGAUGCACGUGCCUCAGCCUCCCAAAGUGCUGGGAUUCCAGGCGUGAGCCACUGUGCCCGGCAGAACAGGCUUUUGACUCUAAGAUUUAUCUACAUACACACACACACACACACACACAAAUAAGGGCUCAGUUUGGUGCUUUAGAUGGCAUUAAGAAAUUAAUUAAAGAAAGAAAAAAGAGAUUAGAAAAUAUUCUAAUGCAUUACAGGUCAUAAAGGUAAGUAAUGUUUUGUGAAGUUUCAAAUAUAGAAUAAAGGUACUAAAAUCACAGUGUAAAAUUAAUUUUAUUUUGUGGAUUCCAGUAAGGAAAACAAAAAACAAAAAACACCAGAAACAAACAUACUGACAUCAGGAUGCUCUCAUCCCUUCAGGCUAUUCUUCCUUGGUAAAGUCACUUGACUGCUGACAGUCUGUUUCCUGGACUAUAAAAUGAAGAUGCUAUGAAUACUGCUGAAGUGACUAACUGAUGACGUAUCAAUGUCAAACAUAAGUAUCGGUGAAAGAACUAUUUUGAAAUAAACAUCCUGGUUAAUCACUAAGGUCUAAGGAGGAAAACUGAAGACGAAGUUCAACAGACCCGUCACUAGUGGAGCCUGGCUUUCUCCUUGGAGAAAGCAGUAACCAGACUCUACCUAUUACAAUGAGAAGCUGCACUCAGGAUAAUUAUGGCUCUGUAAACCAUCAGCAUUCAGCAGGCAGUAAUUGAAAUUUCACAGGCUCAUUAGCAGGUGGGAGAGGUACUGUGGCUGAGAGCUGCCAGCUGAGUAGACUGUACAGUAUUGCAAUUUGUCAUACGGCACUGUACUGCUACUAUGUUAAAAGGAAAGCAGGAAAAUAAAAGGUACUUUUUCUUAUACAAAAUGAAACACAGAAACAAACUAAUAACUUUAAGUCAAUACUCAGAAAUUGCUACUGUUAGUGGCCGGGAUCACUGGUUCAUCCCUAUAAUCCUAGCACUUUGGGAGGUGGAAGUGGGUGGAUCACUUGAGCCCAGGAUUUCAAAGACCAGUCUGGCCAACAUGGUGAAAUCCCGUCCCUACUAAAAAUACAAAAAUUAGCUGGAUGUGGUGGCGCAUGUCUGUAAUCCCAGCUACUUGGGAGGCCGAGGCACAAGAAUUGUUUGAACCGGGGAGGCGGAGGCUGCACUGAGCCGAGAUCAUGCCACUGCACUCCAGCCUGGGUGACAGGGAGAGACUGUCUCACAAAAAAAAAAAAAAAAAAAAAAAGAAAUGGCUACUGUAAGCAAUGAGGAAUACAGGCUGGUGGAUUUUUUUCUACAUACCUAUUAUCCAUUGAGGAGGAUCUUGGUUCAUACUUAGAAAUGAUUUCUUUUAUUAUCCAAAGAAAUAGGCACUGGUGUCAUAAGAAAGCAUACUUCAAACAUACAAACUAUCAGGUAUAUUCUCUUUUUCUCUCCCAGACACAUAGAUCUGAAUUAUG